GGAUGUGAAGCUGAUCUGCCUGCAACAUCUGUCACCCCAUUGAUCACCAGAGUAGAUUCAGCUUAUCUGUCUGGCUAAGCGGGUGUCCCCUUCCUCCCUCACUGCUUCACGUGACUCCUUCCCGAAGCUGCGCACUCAGUGGAAGAGGACGACCAUCUGCAAUAGAGGGGGACCAGUCUUUUGUCAAGGGUAUAGGAGUAGCUGUGCUCCCCUGCUAGAACCUCCAAACAAGCUCUCAAGGUUCAUAAACGUGAUUCUAUUUCAACUGUUGUAUGAUCAAUAAUUGAGCUUCAUCGUGAUGGUGUUCAAAGAU
rnacentral:snRNA from 1 species